rnacentral:rRNA from 1 species
CCUACGGGAGGCAGCAGUGAGGAAUAUUGGACAAUGGGCGCAAGCCUGAUCCAGCCAUGCCGCGUGCAGGAUGACGGUCCUAUGGAUUGUAAACUGCUUUUAUACAGGAAGAAACAUCUCUACGUGUAGAGACUUGACGGUACUGUAAGAAUAAGGAUCGGCUAACUCCGUGCCAGCAGCCGCGGUAAUACGGAGGAUCCAAGCGUUAUCCGGAAUCAUUGGGUUUAAAGGGUCCGUAGGCGGUUUAGUAAGUCAGUGGUGAAAGCCCAUCGCUCAACGGUGGAACGGCCAUUGAUACUGCUAGACUUGAAUUAUUAGGAAGUAACUAGAAUAUGUAGUGUAGCGGUGAAAUGCUUAGAGAUUACAUGGAAUACCAAUUGCGAAGGCAGGUUACUACUAAUUGAUUGACGCUGAUGGACGAAAGCGUGGGUAGCGAACAGGAUUAGAUACCCUGGUAGUCCACGCCGUAAACGAUGGAUACUAGUUGUUGGGCGCAAGUUCAGUGGCUAAGCGAAAGUGAUAAGUAUCCACCUGGGGAAGUACGAACGCAAGUUUGAAACUUCAAAGGAAUUGACGG